GGAGCUCCAGUAGGACACUCGGCAUUUUAAAUGUUCUAUCCUAGCUGCUGUAUAAUUUUCUUUAAUGUCUGAACGAUCGAUUUUGUAGCACUGACAUGAUCAGUCUCAAUGAGGUUAUUGACGGUUGAAUUUUCAGUUGAGCUAUCAAGUUGAUUGUCUAUACCCUACCAUUUUGCAUCUUUCAUCUUUCAUCUCCCUGGAAUAAGGAUAUUGUACCUUACUCAAAAGCUUUUCAAAUCUAUAUUAACAAACAGUCUCAGUUUUUUUUAUUGCCUUUUAGUUAACAGUUACCUUAUGUCUGAUUGUUGUAUUUCUACUUGGAACAGAGGAAAGUGCCCUUAUGGAGCUUUUAAGCUUUAUUUACAGUGGAAAGUUGACGACAAAUGAGCCAACCCUUCUGCUUGAUAUCUUGAUGAUUUCUGAUAAAUUUGAAGUUGUUUCUUGCAUGAGACACUGCAGUCAAUUGCUAAGGAGCUUACCUAUGACCACAGAAUCUGCACUUCUCUAUCUAGAUCUGCCUUCCAGCAUUUCAAUGGCUGCAGCAGUUCAGCCACUGACUGAUGCUGCCAAGGAAUUCCUCGCUAACAAAUACAAGGAUCUGACCAAGUGGGUAGUCUCUUUAUUUAAAGAGCCAACUAAAUUAUUGAAAGUAACAUUGUUGAACUAAAGGAAUGCUUCCUCUUUCCAGGUUUCAGGAUGAAGUGAUGAACAUUCCCCUUGCUGGGAUUGAAGCCAUCCUAUGUAGUAAUGACCUUCAGGUGGCAUCAGAGGAUGCAGUCUAUGACUUUGUGAUCAAGUGGGUUCGUGCUCAGUACCCAAGAACGGAAGAAAGACGUGAAAUCUUGGGUACUCGCUUGCUGCCGCUCGUUCGGUUCUCUCAUAUGACCUGCAGGAAGUUGCGGAAGGUCCUUGCGUGCAGUGAUCUGGAUCAUGAGCAAGCAUCGAAAAGUGUCACUGAUGCACUCCUGUACAAAGCUGAUGCACCACAUCGACAGCGUGCCCUUGCUGCAGAUGUGUUGACUUGCAGGAAAUAUACUGAACGAGCUUACAAGUAUCGCCCGCUUAAGGUGGUGGAAUUUGAUCAACCAUAUCCUCAGUGCAUAGCAUACUUGGAUCUGAAGCGUGAGGAGUGUAGCCGACUUUUCCCAUCCGGGCGGAUUUACUCGCAAGCAUUCCAUCUUGCUGGACAGGGAUUCUUCCUGUCAGCACAUUGCAACAUGGAUCAGCAAAGUGCUUUCCACUGCUUUGGUCUCUUCUUAGGGAUGCAAGAGAAAGGCUCAACGAGUGUCACCGUGGACUAUGAGUUUGCUGCAAGGACAAGGCCAUCGGGCGAUUUUGUCAGCAAGUACAAGGGUUACUACACCUUCACUGGUGGAAAGGCAGUUGGCUACCGGAAUCUCUUUGCAAUUCCCUGGCCGUCGUUUAUGGCUGAUGACAGCCUCUUCUUCAUCGAUGGAGUUCUACAUCUGAGAGCAGAACUGACCAUAAAGCAAUCAUAGAUAGUGGAAAAUCUUGUGUGGUUCAAACAUGUUUUUCCUGAGCACCAAAAUAGACACUUUUGAAAUGAGAAGCAAAAUCUGUGAACUGUGAAAACUGAAAAGUAACAUCUUAUGAACUGUGAAGGUGUAGUUGCGCCACAUAAGUUUUUUCUUAAUGUGUAGCGCUACAUGAGUUAAAUUUGCAGUUUGUUGAAAUUUCUACUCAUUUUGAUGGUAAUCCUUUCAGGGACAUACGACAUGCUUGGAUAGUGUCAUGUACUAGAAUGUAGUCAAGGUACAAAGAGCGUUUGCUAAAUGAUGGCAAUAAGCAAGUCAGUUCUAUAGAAAAGAAAAAGGUUACUUCGAACGAUGGAUUUUGCAUCUUAGGCCCCGCUUGGAUUCGGUGUAAGUUUAUACAGCUGGAUUUAAUUUACAGGUGUAAAUUACCGGCUGUAGUGUGUUUUCCGUUUGGAAUAGAAACGAUGGCUGGAGGUCUAUCGAUUACGGAGGUACUCCCUCCGUCCCGUCCCAUUAUAUGAGAGCUUUUUUGACGCCAGUGUCAAAAACGUUCUUAUAUUAUGAGGCGGAAAGAGUAUUUGGGAGGCAACCAACGAUCCAAGCAGGGCCUUACUGUAUUUUCUUUUAGAAACUGCCAGGUAUAGCUAUAGGCUCUGUUUGUUUAGUUUGCGGCUGGGCGAUGUUGGCAAAAGUUUGGUCAUUUGGCAAUACGGCUGUUGAUUGAUUGCCACAUUUUUUUAGAAUCGCCGGAGGAUUCUCACCUAAUUUUUUUUCGAGUAAGUCUAAGCAUACCAUAUUUUCAUAAAAGGCGAAAAUCAAGUACAGGAAACUAAGAACUUGAUGCGAAUAACAAGUGUAGUACAACUUCACACCAAGCUAAUCAAUAGAUUAGCCACCGCGACAAUUACAAACGCAACGCAAGAGGGCCGGGGAUGGGAAGGGAUCUGGUGGAACCCUUUCCCUUCACCUAAUCCCCUCAACCCCUUAUAAUUUGCAUUAGAGUUGUGCUUGGGUAGAGAAUACACGAGGGGAAGAGGGCGUGUUGAGUUUACAGGGGGUGAGGGUUUGCAUGGGAUCCAUGGGGUUGCACACGUCGAAAACCAGCCCACCAAAAACAAGGCUUCAUAGCAUCUACAUGAGCCCUCGUAUCUGUCAAACGCCUGACCUGCCCGACCGCACAGAAAACAGCCGCCCAACCAGAUUUGGCAAAUCUGGCUCAAACACCCUGGUUGACUGGCACUUCUCAUAACCGGUGCAUAUGUGGGGCGGAUGUGGGGACACCCGGAUACGCCCACCAUGUAGGACUGACCACAAGGGCCCACAUGAACACUCAUAGAAACCAUCAGUCCGAAGGGCGCCUCCUUCAUUUUUUAGUGAGAAUGCAUUCAUGGUGCUGCGUGGCGUCGCACGACGUGCCGCCUGAGGACCAAGCACGGUUAUUUAAGCUGGACGACGGCAACCCAACCCUAGCCUGUCUGCAUUUCUACCCUCUCCUCCUUUCACGCCGCCACCUUCAAUCCGGUCAUCGUUAGCCGCUAGCCAUGGCCCGUAGUAGGAUCACCAUCUACGCCAUACUCACCCCGGAGCAACGCUUGCAGCUGUUGGAGGAGAACCGGGCUAGGCACGAAGCUCGGAUCGUAGUCAGCCUGCCUCCGGAUUCAUCCGAGCCGGAGCCAGAGGAGGAGGAGACCCUGGAGGACCCGGAGGCGGAGGAGGCAGUCUGCGGGCUUCACCAUUGCCAACGCGCUGGCGGAGUUCGAGGUGGCCCAAGCAGAGGACGCAAUGGAGCAACAAACCAUCCUCGACUCCAUCCAGUCGGAGGCGGAGGUGGAGGCCAACCGUCGCUUCCUCACUAGGCAGACGUGGAGCUCAACGAGAUCUUGGCCGACGAGGAGCAAGAGGAGGCGGAGCCGGAGGUGCGCCAGCCGCCCAUGACCAUUAGGUCAGCGGCUUCGGCACAAACUUCAUCAACAUCUCCAGUGAGGGGGACGAGUAUUGUAGUUGUGGGAGUGUACUUGGUACGUAGAUCAUGUCGGUACAUGCUUUUGUAUGAAGAUGCAAAUCGUGAAGUGGCUACUAUGAUCGUUGGGGGUGAAAUAUGGGGUAUGACCGGUCACCGUUUGCGAACGUGCCUGACCCGUUUGGCAACUCAAAUUAGCUAUGUAUGGUUGUAGAUGCUCUAAGGCCAACUCCAACGCAAGGCUCCAUUUCAUCCGCCGGCGUCCAUUUGGAUCUACAGAGACAAAAAAUGCAGCCCAAUGCAGAGAGCCAUUAUGUUUUUAUGUCCACUUUGUGUGUCUCGGACUCAUUUCUGUCCCAAAAAUUGGGUCAAAUUUGGAUCCGAAGCGGACAACGUGCGUUGUCCAUCUGUGUCCUCUUUGUCCGGCCUGGCCCACCACCCACCGUCUUUUUUUCAAUCUCUUCCCUCAUUUUUCCCCUCCCGGUCCACACAUCCACCCAUGAACCGCACAAAUAUCUCCACCACGCCGAUGGGAGACAGAGGAGGCACGAAGCAUGAUGGCGCUCACUCCGACCGGCCUCGAGACCGCCGUCGCGGUGGCCCCGACAACCGCAUCGCCGGCAGGCUCGGUGGUGCUGUCCAUGUCGUCUCCGUGGCGGAGAACAUCAUCCACAUCAGGCGCGGCGGCGUGCCCUCCGCAUCGGGUAUACACCUCUUUGACGUCCUCCUCCCCGAGCGAUAGUUGGGUAAGAGCAUGUCCGUCCCAAAAUGCGUUAGCUCCGUUGGGCUGUGUCCGCAUGUCCGUCUAUGUCCGCUGUCUAUUUUGUUGACCUAAAAGAAUAAAAAGCGAAUAAAAUUCGUGUUGUUUGGGUCACUGCAUUGGAGAUGCCCUAAGGCUUUCUUAGGUUGCAACAUAAAAUAGGGCAUAAAAUAUACCCUGGAAACCGAGUUACUCUAACAGUUCGAAAUCCAAUACGAUGCUCUCAUUCUGCAAUCAGAGUAAUCCCAGUUGCCCAAAUCAUGCUCCAUGCAUGUUCAUGGACAGGAAAGUACUCCAUGAGAAAAUGAUGAUGAUUACUCCACAAGGGGAAAAACCCGUGACACCAAAACCCACCCCCUCCGAACCGCAAGCUUUGACGUCCUCUCCGUCGACCUGCCGCCUGCGUCCCCCCUUCCUAACCGCAACCAGCCCAACUCUACUCACUCUACUAGUAGUCUAAAAGGAAAGGAGAGACGCAACACAGGUCACGUCGCGAGCGAAGCAAGGCACAGAAUCGCGACGCCGACGCCGACCAGACCCUCACCCUCCGCUGACGCGCCGGCCCCACGUGUGGGAAACGUGGCCCGCGGACAGCCGGGACCCACGGCGCACGCCUCCUAGUUAAGCGGCCUGCCGGUCUCUGCACCCAAAUCGCCGCACCCGUUUCACGCUUACCACCCUCUGGUUUCCUCCCCAUCACACCACAGCCACGCCUCUCUCUUCUCCGUCUCACUCUUGUCCCCACGCCCCCGCUUCCGCGACCUUCUGGAACCUUCUCUCGGGCUAGGGUUCCGGCUCCGACGGCGGUGAUGAUGUCUUCUGCGGCCUGCGCGCAGCGGCGGAGGUGAGGCGGCGGGCGUGGCCGGAUUGGUAUUGGAGGAAGGGGGCGGUGGUGGCCGGGAUGGACCCGGACUUCUCGCGGGCGAGCGGCGGCCCGAGCUUCGAGUUCGCCUUCAACUCGGUCAACUUCUCCGACCGGGUCCUGCGGAUCGAGAUCGUCGCCGGGGACGACGCGCCGGGGGCCAAGGGCGCCGCCGGCGAGGGCUGCUCCUCCAUCGCCGACUGGGCGCGCCACCGCAAGCGCCGCAGGGAGGACCUCCGCCUCGAGAAAGGUGGGGAAGGUUGGUCUACGUCUCGUCAUCAUUUCGGUACGGGGCGAUUUGGGCGUGGGUGGGUUUGAAUUUGUAUUCGUACUGAUUUGACAGCGGGUGGGUGGGGAGUUGGGAAAUGGAGGUAGUACUACUUGCUUUUCCCGCUGAUUUGUUUUGAUUGCCUGUUGGGGAUUUAGGUAUCAAAAGCCUUACGUUUGGUAUAAGGUGGGAGAAAGAUGGUGAGGCAGCUUUUCCUUUUGAUUGAAGUGAAGUUAUGAUUUCCUAGUUGUUUGCCUUGAUUUGAAUUUCUCAGUUGUUGCCACACGGAAUUUAGCCACAAUAUGAUCUUCUUAGCAACGUCGUGUUCAGGAGAUGACAUUGGUGGGUGGAAUUUUAGGGGAUUUAUCCUGGACUCUAUUUGCAAGAUCUUAUUCAACUCUUAAUUCCGCAGAAGAAAACUCUGUGACAUUGCUCCUAGUAUGAUCCUGAAUUUGCAAAGAGCAUUGUGCACCGUAACCGAACCAACCUCAAGCCCAGUAGAUGCAAUAAGUUGUAUAUAAAGUUAUAAGCUAUAGACAGAAGUUAGUUUGGUUAUUGCCUGAUUAAUAGUACGGCCAGAUGUUGUCCAAUGUCUCGUUUAGCUGAGCAUGCAUUCGUUGUAAUGGGCUAACAAGGGUUUUAGGUGUUACAUAAUGCUUCUAAGUUUCUAUAUUUGAGAAAAGUAAGCAUGAAAGUGGGUAUAUUAAGGGGAGGAUGGAGCAGUAAUGAAGUUAGAAGUUCUUACUCUUAACUACUUACUCCCAGUCUGUGUUUAUUAGGCCACCAGGGCGAAGUGCUGGGACCAAGGCACAACGCGUGUAGUUGCCCAGUUUUGAAUUGGCCCUGUUAGAACACAUGGGCUAGCGGCAUUAAUUAGCGAAACCGUUUCGCCUACCUCGCACAUGUAGCGGCUGGAGAUUUAUCUCCCUCAAUCAGUGGACGGAACGAGCAACGGAACCUGCGAAAUCUGCACUUAAUUAAGACCGGAUGCGGCUCACUGGUUCUCUGGCCUAAUAAACACGGACAUAGGAAGUAUUUGACAUCCUAUUAGCGUCCCAUGAAAAGUUCGGAGUACCCAAUAUAUUUUGCUUGCAUCCAACUUCGCUCUGAAUGUGCACUCUAGGCAUUCAUCGUUAAUGCUUGUUCAUGGGCCUCAUAUUGUUAUUAGGAUUUAUGCUUUAUUGCUUGGAUCUUUUUCUGUCAUUGUCAUCUGAAACUAUUGUACUCUUGCUUUGCUUUAUCAGAAUAUGUUUCUGUCAUGACGAUCUGAUGCCAAUGCACUUAUACUAUUCACACUUUCUUAAUCAUGUUCUUAUUCUAGAGUGCAAUAACUUCCAUUUUCAAUGACCUCCUGCUAUCAUCUCAUGCCCCCAGAAUGUGGAAAGUAUAUGUCAGAACCAGCAAACAUCAAAAUUGAAGCAGAUGAACGUGAUACCUAUGAGGAAACCAACGAGGAGCCUGUAGCUAUGAUAGAAGAAUCUCCACCUGAUAUUGGACAAGAUGGUUAGUGCAAUUGAAUAUCUUUUAAUUACUCCGAAGUACUCCCACCGUAUCAAAAUAUAAGACGUUUAUUAGGCUAGUUUAGCCUACAAAAAUGUCUUAUAUUUUGGUACAGAGGUAGUAUAUGGCAGUCAGGUUCAGAAAAUUUAACACAUAAACACAGAAUUCUGUGCACCUAUGCCAGAUAAUUAAAAUUAUUUUUUGGAGAACUGUUAUGCGUAGCAAUCAUUGGUACUGAUCAUAUGUGAUUUUAGAGUUAGUUGAUGGCACAAUGUAUCAGAGCGAGUAACUCAUUCCUUUGUAUUGAAACUGUGGAGACAUGCUGGUACCGGUGAAGCCUUUCUGCCAGCCAUUGCGUUGAUAAUAUUAGACAUGUGGUAAUCAUUUUAAAUUCCUCACUUUACUAUUGAUUGGUUGAGAUUUAUACGAGCUUGAUUACUUGAUUCUUUCUGCCCCACCUAAUUUUGGAACAAUUGGGUUAUGUUGGAUGGAUUAUACUUCUGUUGGAUAUAAUUCUGACAUAACUGUAAGUAAACUUGUGUACAAUUGUUAUACAUGUGGACAAAUGUACUUUAACUUUUGAAGCUACCAGAUCUCUGAAGUUUGUGCACCAUGUUGUUACUGAUAAGUCAUAUGAUUCGAUACACUGUCACUAUGCUCCCCAUUUGAUUGUGCUCCAAAGCAUCAUAUCCUUGUCUAUAUAAAAGAUGUGAAUCCUGUGCACCAUUUGUUCCUUUAUACUACAUGCCUAUGUGGCCGUUUGUUCUCUGCUUCAUUGGACCUUGCUGUUUGUAUCAGGUGAGGAUGGAGACAGUGACUCAUCCUGGAAUAUGGAAUGUAAUCAGGUUUUGAGAGUGAAGUCUAUAUAUAUCAGCUCUGCGAUUCUAGCUGCAAAAAGUCCCUUCUUUUACAAGGUGGAUCUAAUUUGUGUGUAAAAUGAGUUCAUUGUGGUGUAGUUAUGUAUUGUUAUCUAGCUAACAGUGUCAUAACUUUCAUCUUGUUAGCUUUUCUCAAAUGGCAUGAAAGAAUCCGACCAGAGGCAUGCAACUCUUAGAAUAACUGCUUCAGGUAAUGUGGGAGCUCCAGUAGGACAUGUUCUAUCCUAGCUGCUGUACAGUUUUGCUUAAUGUUUUGAAUGAUCGAUUUUGUAGUACUGACAUGAUCAUUGUCAAUGAGGUUAUCCAUGAUUAAUUUUUCAGUUCAGCAAGCAAGUUAUUUGUCUAUACCCCACCAUUUUGCAAAUAUAUUUUUCUUUUGCUUUCGAGCUAACAGUUACCUUAUGUCUGAUUGUUGUAUUUCUACUUGGAACAGAGGAAAGUGCCCUUAUGGAGCUUUUAAGUUUUAUUUACAGUGGAAAGUUGACGACCAAUCAGCCAACCCUUCUGCUUGAUAUCUUGAUGAUGUCUGACAAAUUUGAAGUUGUUUCUUGCAUGAGACACUGCAGUCAACUACUAAGAAGCUUACCUAUGACCACAGAAUCUGCACUUCUCUAUCUAGAUCUGCCUUCCAGCAUUUCAAUGGCUGCAGCAGUUCAGCCACUGACUGAUGCUGCCAAGGAAUUCCUUGCCAACAAAUAC
rnacentral:lncRNA from 1 species